GUCUCGGUCGCCCAUGCUGACCGUAGGGAGCUCCUCCAAGAGCACUCUGCAAGCGGCAGGAUCGGUCGGAUCCGGGGAGAAAAGGCGUGCGUAGAAGGCCCGGGCCCUCCCGCACAUCUCCGCCGGAUCUGUGAGGGGAGUGCCAUCCUCCGCGAGGAGGCAAGUGACAUCCUUCUUAGCCCCCCUCUUUUU